rnacentral:rRNA from 1 species
AGCGAACGCUGGCGGCAUGCCUAACACAUGCAAGUCGAACGAGACCUUCGGGUCUAGUGGCGCACGGGUGCGUAACGCGUGGGAACCUGCCCUUAGGUUCGGAAUACCUCCCCGAAAGGGGUGCUAAUGCCGGAUAAUGUCUUCGGACCAAAGAUUUAUCGCCUUUGGAUGGGCCCGCGUUGGAUUCGCUAGUUGGUAGGGUAAAAGCCUACCAAGGCGACGAUCCAUAGCUGGUCUGUGAGGAUGAUCAGCCACACUGGGACUGAGACACGGCCCAGACUCCUACGGGAGGGAGCAGAGGGUAAUAUUGGACAAUGGGCGAAAGCCUGAUCCAGCAAUGCGGCGUGAGUGAUGAAGGCCUUAGGGUUGUAAAGCUCUUUUACCCGGGAUGAUAAUGACAGUACCGGGAGAAUAAGCUCCGGCUAACUCCGUG